GCCCGUGUAGCUCAGGGGUUUAGAGCAUUGUACUUAUGAGGCUAUCUGGCCAGCUUGCGAGAUGCAAGGGUCCCGAGUUCGAUUCUCGGCGUGGGCA